GAUGAACGCUGGCGGCGUGCCUAAUACAUGCAAGUCGAGCGAACAGAUGAGGAGCUUGCUCCUCUGACGUUAGCGGCGGACGGGUGAGUAACACGUGGAUAACCUACCUAUAAGACUGGGAUAACUUCGGGAAACCGGAGCUAAUACCGGAUAAUAUAUUGAACCGCAUGGUUCAAUAGUGAAAGACGGUUUUGCUGUCACUUAUAGGUGGAUCCGCGCCGCAUUAGCUAGUUGGUAAGGUAACGGCUUACCAAGGCAACGAUGCGUAGCCGACCUGAGAGGGUGAUCGGCCACACUGGAACUGAGACACGGUCCAGACUCCUACGGGAGGCAGCAGUAGGGAAUCGUCCGCAAUGGGCGAAAGCCUGACGGAGCAACGCCGCGUGAGUGAUGAAGGUCUUCGGAUCGUAAAACUCUGUUAUUAGGGAAGAACAAAUGUGUAAGUAACUAUGCACGUCUUGACGGUACCUAAUCAGAAAGCCACGGCUAACUACGUG
rnacentral:rRNA from 1 species